UACGAAGGGGGCUAGCGUUGUUCGGAUUCACUGGGCGUAAAGGGCGCGUAGGCGGCUUUAUAAGUCGGGGGUGAAAGCCUGUGGCUCAACCACAGAAUUGCCUUCGAUACUGUAGAGCUUGAGACCGGAAGAGGUAAGUGGAACUCCGAGUGUAGAGGUGAAAUUCGUAGAUAUUCGGAAGAACACCAGUGGCGAAGGCGGCUCACUGGCCCAUUCUUGACGCUGAGGCGCGAAAGCUAGGGGAGCGAACGGG
rnacentral:rRNA from 1 species